ensembl:lncRNA
GCGGGAGGAGAGCGUGAGAGAGAGGAAGAGAGAGAGAAAGCGGCAAGCAGAAAGCUCAUAGCUAAGGAGCGAGAGCAGCAUCAGAAGAAGAGGAUCGCUUUAAAAAGGACAAAAUAAGGAAAAAACAAAAAAGGAAACUCACCAGUCCUGCUGAUGGUCAUACGUCAACUUUAAGUGGCUAAAAUCUCAGUGAGUAGGAGAGAGAGAGAAAAGUAAAUUCAUCACCACCAUGAAGCUGUGGAGCCGUGUCUGCUUCCUCGUUCUAGCAGUUUCUCCUAUUUGCCUGGGACAAAAUGGUACAAGUCAUGAGCAACCCAACGGUACAGUUUCUCCUGUCCCCUCAAUCACUGCCAGAUACGUUUUAAAAGGAACUGAAAAUAAGAUGCAAUAUGACACAGACCCUGAGAGUACUACAGCAGAGGAAACAAACAGUAUGCCUGGAGGCACAGUGGCUACUACUCUAACAAGUACUAAUGUACCAACAAAAGAGACUACCAGCAUAGUCACACAAGGAGGAGCACACCGUGGUGGUAAAAUGACUCAAACAACACCAAGUACCAGCUCAGGAACUACAGCACCCCCUCCACCUGGCUCGUCUGCAGGUUAUGUUGUCCUGGCGCUUAUCAUCAUAGUGAUUAUAAUUCUGUGUAUCAUCCUCUACCUCUUGAGGCGAGCCUCCAGGACAUAUUCAUUUGACCUCCAGCGUCCAAAUCCUGUUGGUCAUCUCAACCAGCCCACUGGCACCUUUGAGCCAGUCUACCUGGAUGAUCUGGAGCGACCGGUACCUAAAGAUAUUGAAGCCACCGAUGACCUUUCACCUCCACCGGUCGCUAAUGGCACGAGUCUACAGUCGGAGGAAAAGGACUCCACUGGAGAGAACGCUCCUGAGGAACAGCCAGAAGCAAAUGGUGUGGAGACUUCACCCGCUGAAAACACCACUCCCUCACUGAGUAGCGAUGAAGCUGACAAGAUAUCCAACCCACCGAGCAGUACCAGCCUUUUCUUUGAUGCUAUUGGGGAGCAGCAGAAUGAAAACAACAACAACCCAAGUAAGAUUUUUCUUUAAUAAUGCAAAUACAAACACAAAGCAGUACGGUCAUUUCUCUAUUGCAUUUUCAGAAAUCAUGCAGGACUUGCACGAGAAAGUUUACCAUGAAGCUCCAAAAUAUAACUCGCUUCUAUGUAUGUCUAAAGACAAAACAUGAAAUAUUCACUGAAAUUCUUUGUAUACAUAUGGCUCAACUCUUUAUGGUAAAUGGCCUGUAUUUGUAUAGCGUUUUACUUUACACUACAUCCAGUCAUCCACCCAUUCACACACUGGUGAUGAAGCUACAUUGUAGCCACAGCUGCCCUGGGGCGCACUGACAGAGGCGAGGCUGCCGGACACCGGCGCCACCGGGCCCUCUGCCCACCACCAGUAGGCAACGGGUGAAGUGUCUUGCCCAAGGACACAAUGACUGAGACUGUCGGAGUCGGGGCUCAAACCGGCCACCUUCCGACUACAAUACGAACUGCCAACUCUUGAGCCACAAUUGCCCCUAUAUUUAUUCCAAUAAGUGCUGCUAAACAAAUUGUUUUAUGCGGCAAAGAAAACCUGCCAGUUGUAGUCAACCAUGAUUACAAUUAAAAAUUUAAUAGGCUUUAUCCUUGUCAGACUAUUUACCAUGACAUUCAUGCCGAUAAUGAGUGUAUGGAAACGUCCAACCACAGCUGUAUAUGGGACUCUUACUGUGGUCACUGGUGUAAGGAGUGAUGUGAAUUAUGUCUCCCUCAUCAAUCCCAUCCUCCAAAUGUGGACUUUUUUCCUGAAAUGUUUUUACUUCAUGCAAAAUUCAAAAGGUAGACCUACAGUAGCAACAGGUCAGUGACCAACUGAAGGUAGAGACCAUUUGGCUUUAAAUGAAAAUGUCUGCAUUUUAAAAGUGUUGGCUGCAGAAGUGAUCCAUCAGUUUUACUCUAAAAGUGAACAUUGUCUGUUUCUGUGGCACUUUUUUAAUGUUUUACUGCUGCACAGUGAUUAGGUGUUUGCAGAUAAGUUGGCAUUUUCCAUUUUGCAAUCCACUGUCUUCUUCAAUCCCAAUCUUUGUCCUCUCUCACAGCAGUUUGCUCCAGUGACCCAUUUGUUGAAAUAAACCUGGACGAGCCGGCAUGGUGUGAUCAGCUCCUCAAUUCUUCUGAAGGUUCUUCCUCGGUCUUCCCCUUCUCUCCAUUCUCUUUAUCCUCCUCUUCCUCUUAGCACUUUGAAUGUUAUCCUCUUCCAUCAACAUAUAGGCAGAGAUUGUCUUUCGUAGCACAUGGACAUGAGCACAACAUGUGUUUUUUUUCCCAAAGCUAGUAUGGAUUGUGAAGUGAACAACCAAGGAAUUAACAUCAACCUGUAAACAUGAAGCUAGCUUUAACUGAUUUCUUAUUGUGUUUUUAUAUGUUUUUGUUCAAAUUUAUUGGUCUCAUUUAGUAUUUUUUCUAAGACUAUAUGAAGGACUUUAAACUGAUUUUAAUUGAAUUGUUUGAAACUGAGCAAUUUGGGAAGCUCAAAGAGGCAGUCCAAAAUUGCAUCGAAGAAAAAGAAGGAUUGAAGAAAUGUUAAUCACAACUUUUCCUGCAUUUAACUGACUUAUUAUUAUUGUUGCCUAACCACACUGCAAACUUCAUACCAAAGGAAGUAAAAUAAGCAAGGUAGCUUAUUUGUGACAUCUAGACUAAGCAAUAACGCCUGAACUUUUUUUUUUUUUCCAAAUGUCAUCACUUCAUGAGCGUAUAGAUUGGCUGCAGUUCCUCUCAGAUCUAACAUCCUUUGAAGUAGGCUAAAGUUUUCUCAGAAGAGAUGUUUGGUUUUAAGUCAGAUUAUUUUUGGGGAAAUUAGUGUGUACAAAGUACUCAUAUAGGAAACAGUUGAUUAACUUUUUGUACAGUUUAAUAUUGCAAUAAUAAGUUAUGGUUGUAAUCCCAAGACGCAAAUGGACAUACACAAGAAUGAUGCUUCAUUUGGGAACCACAUCUCAUUACCAAUAAACAUAAAACUAGCUUUAACGCUUCCUUAUGAUUUUUUUGUUUGUUUUAUACAUUAUCAGCACAUCAAACUUAAAUCAAAUGAGUUUUUUCCUAAAAUGUAGCAUUUUUCUACUUCAUUUUAUUUACUAAAGCAUCAUAAAACAAGAUUAAAGUUAACUUUAGCAGUGACAACUGUUACUCUCAAAUUAUCGAUGUAGGCUAGUUUCCCCUAAACCUACAGGGAGAUUUGUGAAAUCUCUGAACUAUAAAAAUACACUCUGUGUCAUAAUUGCUGUAAAUAUUUUUGUACACGAUAUAUUUUUUUUAGUAGAAUACUGUGAAUUAUUCACAUUUAUUCAAGUUCUAUAUUUUAAUUUUGUGACUCUGGAGGUUUCCAUUCUACUAGAUGUUUAAAUGCUUUCGUUUCUUUUAACCUACAUUUAUUUUGUCAUUUUUUUAAUAAACUGGUUUCUUUUCAGAAGCUAACUAAAUAUACAUUUCACCACUGCCAUUUUCCUCAAAGUGCUAAUUCAAACUGAUAUAUAAAUAUAUAAUUUUCUGACUAAUGUUAAAAAAAACAAACAUUGAGAAGUGUUACUUUGUUUCAUGUUAAAAAUCAAAUUGAUUCAAAUAAAACUAUUUUUUUUUCAGAAUUUCACUGUUAUCCCUUCUUCAUUCUUUUUAUUAUCCUGAUGGUUAAAAUGUCUCUCACUUAACUAAUUUUUGGGUUUAAUUCCAUUUGCUGCCUUACUCACACCAAACCUUUUCAGAAAGUCAUCUGUAUAUUCUUUG